AUUGAACGCUGGCGGCAUGCCUUACACAUGCAAGUCGAACGGUAACGGGCCUUCGGGUGCCGACGAGUGGCGAACGGGUGAGUAAUGCAUCGGAACGUACCUUUCAGUGGGGGAUAACGUAGCGAAAGUUACGCUAAUACCGCAUAUUCUGUGAGCAGGAAAGCAGGGGAUCGCAAGACCCUGCGCUGAUUGAGCGGCCGAUGUCAGAUUAGCUAGUUGGGGAGGUAAAGGCUCACCAAGGCGACGAUCUGUAGCGGGUCUGAGAGGAUGAUCCGCCACACUGGGACUGAGACACGGCCCAGACUCCUACGGGAGGCAGCAGUGGGGAAUUUUGGACAAUGGGGGCAACCCUGAUCCAGCCAUGCCGCGUGAGUGAAGAAGGCCUUCGGGUUGUAAAGCUCUUUCGGCCGGGAAGAAAUCGCACGGGCUAAUACCCUGUGUGGAUGACGGUACCGGAAUAAGAAGCACCGGCUAACUACGUGCCAGCCGCCGCGGUAAAAC
rnacentral:rRNA from 1 species